UGGGGAAUAUUGCACAAUGGGCGCAAGCCUGAUGCAGCCAUGCCGCGUGUGUGAAGAAGGCCUUCGGGUUGUAAAGCACUUUCAGCGGGGAGGAAGGCGAUAAGGUUAAUAACCUCAUCGAUUGACGUUACCCGCAGAAGAAGCACCGGCUAACUCCGUGCCAGCAGCCGCGGUAAUACGGAGGGUGCAAGCGUUAAUCGGAAUUACUGGGCGUAAAGCGCACGCAGGCGGUCUGUCAAGUCGGAUGUGAAAUCCCCGGGCUCAACCUGGGAACUGCAUUCGAAACUGGCAGGCUAGAGUCUUGUAGAGGGGGGUGGAAUUCCAGGUGUAGCGGUGAAAUGCGUAGAGAUCUGGAGGAAUAACGGUGGCGAAGGCGGCCCCCUGGACAAAGACUGACGCUCAGGUGCGAAAGCGUGGGGAGCAAACAGG
rnacentral:rRNA from 1 species